rnacentral:lncRNA from 1 species
UCCACAUCCCCCUGCCUUUUCCGAGAAAAGGACAGUUAGUGCCUGGACCAGGACCAUCACACUGGGGACCGGCUUCUCUGCUCUCCCGUUAUGGGGGUCGGGGGAAUGAUGGGUCAAGGGUCUUCCGAAGAAAGCGAGAAAGGAACAGGCGCCUUCAAAAGCCCACUUGGCGAUGGGUUACAGUAAGAGGUUUCCCCUCCAGGUGCAGCUUCAGAGCCAGGCGAGCCAGGAAGGACCAGCGGGCGAGGUGGAAGUCUGCAUUAUCACGAGGAGCUUGGAAAGGAGGUAACACACUCAAGGCAAAUUUCAAGUAACUCAUCCUGGAGGCAGCUGCCUACUCUGCAGCUGUGGUUCUCCACCACAGAGAGAAGAAAAGGGAGGGAGAUGGAGUGCGCAGGUCUGAGAAGGCUUUCAUUCUGGAGCAUCUGCAGGAGCCUGCACCAUGGCCCAGUAGCACCCCUUUUUCUCCAUGAGCUGCUGGUGGGUUCCCCCCUCCCGGAUAGCGCCUCCUUCCAGAAAGAGGAUGUGGUCAGCCUGCUCCACCAGGCUGAGGUGCUGGGUGAUGAGAAGCACUGAGCGGGAGUACCGCUCAGGGCUUUCGUACAGGAGCUGCUCCACCUGAGGAAAGACAUCGGACCGUCAGAGCCGGGGACUACCCUCAGCCCAGGGAGACACCUGUGUUUCCAGGGCUGGGACUGACCUCACAGGAUCACUGCUGGCUCUGCUAACAACCCCAAGGACACCAACGUUUCCCAUUCUGAGUACUUCUCCGCAAACCCUUUGUUUCAUUAAGGACUGUUUUACAUGAAGGGUGCAAAAGUAGGAUAAAAAUGAGAACCCUAGGGUGAAACACGUGACAGAAGAAUAAAGACUAUUGAAUAGUCCUCUUCUCUACCCAUGGACUUGGCAUUUUUAUAUUCGAUUUUAAGGAAAUAUAACUUAGUAGUAAAGAGAUGAGCAUUCAAGUCAGGCAGACCUGAAUUUGGGUCAAGGCUGCGCCACUCAAAAGCUAUAUGACCUCUAUAUGAGCAGCUUAUUCAACCUCUUUUAACCUCCAUUUUGUCAUCUGUAGAAUGAUGAUAAAUGCCUAGCUCAGAAGGAUUCCUAAUGAAUAAAUGAGUGACAGUGCAUGUAAACAGACUAGCUUAAUUAAUAUUAAUAUGAUUAGGAUGGGCUGGGCCCAGUGGCUCAUGCCUAUAAUCCUAGCACUUUGGGAGGUCAAGGAGGGAGGAUCACUUGGGCCCAGGAGUUCAAGGCCAGCCUGGGCAACAUAGCGGGACGCUGUCUGUACAAAAAAUAAUUUUUUUAAAUAAACGAUAUUAUGAGGAUGGUC